AUGAUGAAGAUGUCUGGCCAGCAUGGGCCGCUGAUGCACCUCCGACUAGGUGAGGUCCCAACGGUUAUCGUCUCCAGCGCCGAGGCAGCAGCACUGGUGAUGAAGACCAAUGACCUCGAUUUCGCAAGCCUGCCCUGCAGUCCGUUGCAGGAUAUCAUCAGCUGUGGCAGUAUGGGCAUCAUCUUCGGCCCCUAUGGGGAUCGCUGGCGCCAGAUGCGCAAGAUCUGCAUUGUGGAGCUCCUCAGUUCCAAGCAUGUGAGGCGUAUGGAGGGCAUCAAGGCCAACGAGGUAGGUAACCUCCUCUAUUCCAUGGCCACCGCCGGUACUACCAUAAAUGUAAGCGCGAAGACGGCAACACUCAGCAGCGAUGUCGUGACGCGGGCAGUUUUUGGCGGCAAGUUCACACGGCGGGAUGAUUACCUUCACGAGCUAAGCAGCGUGAACGAGCUUAUGGCUUCUGCCUCGUGGACCUUUUCCCGUCCUAGCGGCUGGUACGGUUGCUCAGCAAUGGUGAGCGGCUUAUGA
rnacentral:rRNA from 1 species